CGAACGGGUGAGUAACAUAUCGGAACGCACCGGGUAGCGGGGGAUAACUGAUCGAAAGAUCAGCUAAUACCGCAUACGUCUUGAGAGGGAAAGCAGGGGACCUUCGGGCCUUGCGCUAUCCGAGCGGCCGAUAUCUGAUUAGCUGGUUGGCGGGGUAAAGGCCCACCAAGGCGACGAUCAGUAGCGGGUCUGAGAGGAUGAUCCGCCACACUGGGACUGAGACACGGCCCAGACUCCUACGGGAGGCAGCAGAU
rnacentral:rRNA from 1 species